GCAGUAUACAGUAAAAUAUAUACAGUAAAAGUGUUUGAUAUGAUGCUGUGGCAGGAGGAGAAACUACACAAACUGAUACUGGAUCCAUUGCCUUUGACAGCAACUAUGGGAUGGUGGAUACAAACCUGCAUUCAGUUCCUCACACUGGCUCAGGUUAUAAUGACUGAAAUACAUUGAAACAUUGAUGAACUCUAUAGGGCUUUGCUAUAUGUACAGAAAACUGCUUCAGCUGAAACUGUUUUCUACCUAAGAAGCAAAGAGCAGCUGGGAACUGCAGAGUGCUCUCACCUCCUACUUGAAAGAUAGCUCUUUCUGAAGAAGAUCAAAAAGUUUUGAGGGAAAUAAAGAAUCGGGAAGAAAUGCCAGAGAAGAGGCAAAAUAGAGGAAGGGGGACAAUGAAGAUUCCAGUUCUUCUAUUACUGUACUUCAUGAUUUACAUGUAAACAGGUGGAAGAAUAAUUUCCCCCUUUAACCUGCUGUGUGGCUUUCUGUGAGAUUCAUCAGUGCACAAGAGGAUGGUGAGGAAGAAAGCAGGAGGAAAUUCUGCUUGAAAAAUUGCCUUCCUAAAUUAAGUGGGAUAAAGAAGUGACCUGAAUUUGUUUGCUUGUUUUUAAAUAAAGAACUCAUGAAAUGUUAAAAAG